CUGGACUUCUAUACUCCAAAACUCCUGGCCAUAUUUGAGAUGAAGGGUGGGGUUGCUGGCACAAAAAUAAGAAGUGUGCUGGAUUCACUUAGUCAAGUCAACACGAAGGUAGGCGAGAUGCUAUUAUCCGCUGCCUCAUUAUCUUUCUGGGAGAAUCAUCUGAGGAGCUCAUCAAAGACUACCAGGAUGUCAGCAAAGACAUAAUCAAAGAUAGCUUCGCUGAACAUGUGAUGAAGAUCAUUGUACUUUGCAGCACUGCAGCAGAAGGUUCCACUCCAGCCGACGUGAUCACUGUCAUUGAGGGAACUGAGGUGCUGGUUGGAUGUAAAAAAUCUCACAAAUGCGUGUCUUCUACUCAUGGGUUUAAUUUACUCCCUGAACUUCAUCUAUCCCUCAAAGCUGAGAAGCACAUUUGAAGUGUUUCAAAAGAUCUUUCUUGAGCUGGAUGUUAUAAAAUAUUCUCCAAAAGUUCACUCUUUGCACACUAAGCUACUCAUGUAAAUCUGUUAGUUGUGUACACUCAAUAUUUUACACUUUUACAUUUUGUAUUUGUUCCUUUGUGCAGACAUUAAUUGUGUUCUGAAAACUUUAACUUCAAGUAUUAUAGUGAAAAAGAGACAAAA